rnacentral:misc_RNA from 1 species
AAAACACAUAACACAUAUUUUUAUAUAAACUCAAAAAAGAAACUUAGAGACAAGCAACUCACAUACACACAUGGACACAUACACAAGACAUCAAGUGCAGUUCCAGAAGGGAGAAAGUAAGAUUACAGUAUCAACUUUCAACCUACAACCUCCCCUCAAUUUAUUCCCAACAGACACUAAAGCAAAAGUUGAACACAAGACAACAUAAAAUGCACUUAAAACUCUUGACAAAACUCUAGUCUCCCCACCAUUGAUGAGCAAACACACCACUUCUCCUUAGAGUUUUGAAAAGGCUCAUGCAGUCUCCACAAAGAGCAUUUCUGCAAUCUGCAGCGGAGCAGCGAAGGAACAGCUCAUCGACGUGGCAUAUUGAUCCAGUUUGGAAUAGUUCUGCUAGAAUGUUUAGCUCUGGUGCUCUAGCAUUCAUCAUGAGGAUGACAUAGUCUCCGUCUUUAACUGUUUCACUAAACCAAUGAAUGAAGUCGAAUCCUUCAUGAUCUAGUGGUGCACCCAAAUAUUCGUCAGUGUCAACAGAUGACAAAGUAGUCUCUCCGGCGACAGCAAGUCCUGGAUGGUACACAAAGUUAAUACCAGGAUUCUUCACAUAUAAGGACAGUGUGGAGGUGUUAUGAUCAAUGACGAAAACAUUGAACAAGUGGUGAGGGAUUGGAUAAUGAGGCUUGAAUGUUCUUGCAAGAGUUGA